GGAGGUGGCUCAGCGGUAGAGCGCUCGCCUGGCAUGCGUGCGGCCCGGGUUUGAUCCUCAGCACCA
rnacentral:tRNA from 1 species